AACCUCCGCAAUGUGAGAAAUCGCGACGGGGGGAUCCCAAGUGCCAUUCUUAACGGGAUGGCUUUUCAUUAGUGUAAAGAGCUUUUGGAAUAAGAGCUGGGCAAGACCGGUGCCAGCCGCCGCGGUAACACCGGCAGCUCUAGUGGUAACAAUUUUUAUUGGGCCUAAAGCGUCCGUAGCCGGUUUAAUAAGUCUCUGGUGAAAUCCUGCAGCUUAACUGUGGGAAUUGCUGGAGAUACUAUUAGACUUGAGACCGGGAGAGGUUAGAGGUACUCCCAGGGUAGAGGUGAAAUUCUGUAAUCCUGGGAGGACCGCCUGUUGCGAAGGCGUCUAACUGGAACGGUUCUGACGGUGAGGGACGAAAGUUAGGGGCGCGAACCGGAUUAGAUACCCGGGUAGUCCUAACUGUAAACGAUGCGGACUUGGUGUUGGGGUGGCUUUGAGCUGCUUCAGUGCCGAAGGGAAGCUGUUAAGUCCGCCGCCUGGGAAGUACGGUCGCAAGACUGAAACUUAAAGGAAGU
rnacentral:rRNA from 1 species